AAAGCCAUUUUUUCUGUUUUUACUUGCAGGUCACCUUUGGGGGUAAAAAAAUGUCUAUCUUGGUUGUGUGAAAUGACAGGCUUGUCCAACAUAAGCCUGAGCAGCUGUGAAGAUCAGCCUGAAGGCCUGGAGGAGAUGGCCUGCCAUAUGGGGCUCCCAAAGCUCCUCCUGUACCUAUUCACUGCAGCAGCAACAAUGCACAAAAUGCUAAUGGGAAGAAUAUAUUUUGGAUCACCACAAGACUGUCCAUUUGUAGAUCAGACUGCGAAGCACCAUCUUAUUGGAGACAAGUGCACCAUCAGCUGUCAGUGUGGCAGGUGGCCAUCAGCCUGCAAUCCUUAGCUGCAGAGAUGGAGAGAACUUUGCAAGAGCAAGUGAACAGGAAGAAAGAACUGCUAGCAAAACCCACCAAAAAAAAAAAAGAGGACAGCAGGACUUUGUAGAGAAUACAUUAGAAAUAGGCUGGAGGUGUGUAGAAUAGGAAAAGGUAGGUAACUUGGAACAAGAUAGAGAAAUUAUUUGCUAAGAGGAACAUGCUUCUGACAACCGUCCUUAAUGUCUAAACUUCCUGUACCUGUCUGUAGCUUUCAGAUCUGCUGUCCUUACCAAAAGACAUUUGUGAACAGAGCGCUCUACAGCAAAGCUCUACAGCUGCUCAAGAUGCUAAUUCUGGGUCUUCCUGGUUAGGUGAGCUGGGCCAGUGGCCCUCCCUGAUUUUUAAAUUUUUAUAUCUGUAAAAGAAGAAUAUAAUCAGGCCUCAGGGGAUGCUUACAGGAUUCAUAGGUUAUAUGUGUAAGGGCAUUGAGCUUGAGGAGCGCUACAGAUAUAAUCAUGGACCUUAUACCCCACCUGCCCAUACAGAAAAUAAUUUUUUUAAAAAGAGAGAUAAAGUGGCAACUGCCAUCUCAAUCUAAAUAGGGAGCAUUACCAUCCACCCUGCAGCCUGAUUCCUACUCUGCCUGAACUGGAACACCCUCCAUCUUCUGGGAAUGAUUCUCACAAAGGAACACAACAUGAAGCAACCAAAGGAUGCACCUUGGAGUGAGCAGGUGUCACACAUGUCACUAAAAGCAUGUGUUACACUCCUGCAUCAUGACUGUGGUGCUCUGCUCUUCACCUCUACCUCUGGCUUCCUUCAAAAGUAAUGGUUUGAAUCUCUGAUGUUGUUCAUCAGCAUUUGUGCAGUAAUCUGCAGCAAUCUUCAAUCUUACACCUUGACUACUUACAUGAUGCUACAGCCAGUGGCACUGGUUGAUUAUUUUACAAAUGCAAAGCCAACUGCAUUUAAUAUUAUCUCUAACUGAACUGAACAUCGACCCAAAUAAUGUCACAGUCUAAGAUU
rnacentral:lncRNA from 1 species